rnacentral:misc_RNA from 1 species
CAUUCAAUCGAACUCGACGAACGGCUCGAUGAAUCGUUCAUUCCCAAUGCAAAAUGACCGGAACGUUCGUCUGAACCCAAUACAACAUUCGUCAACGACGACGGCCUGCAACUUCCUCUCGAGCAAAUUGGGAACUUACAGAACAAAGUUAUCACGGAGUGUUAGUAGUCUAAGUGCCAAUCGAGUCUCUUCGCUUUUCGACCACCGAAAGUUGAAUAAUGAGCGUCCGAAUUUGCACCGAUCGCGGCGUGGUUCCCUGGCCGUACCUCAAGAACGCAACGACGCGAAAAUUCUCCUUAAAAAUGACGUGAAAAAAAGUGGAAAUACUUCUCUAUCAACCGAGUCGAGUAAUGACAGUGGUACCGAAGUGACGGAACCGGAUCACUAUUAUAAGCUGAGAGCCAAGGAGAAAUCGGAAUCUUCAUCUUCAGCAUCAUCUUCGACGAUAGCGUCUUGUUGUUCCACUGUAAAUGCUAGAAAUGCAGCCAAUUCAAGACCAUCUCAGCCUCCGGAUCCGAAUCGCUUGACAAAGUUCGGUAGAGAUUUCCUAUCGCGUCGAUUAAGUACUUCACAGAUACCGGAAUCGCGAUCGUCUUCAACAUCAGGAUCCCUUUCGAAGCCGCAACAGAAUCACGUGACAAAACCUCGGAAAUCACCAACCACAGCGACUUUGAUGCCAUCCGCAUCGUCCACGGGAAUAUCUUUCCGACGACUUAAUCUGAUGCGAUCGCACUCAGUUUCUGCAAUCAAACCUGUCUCGCGAUCACCAUCUUCAGCAGUGGUUGGAGCAACCAGAGCCGAUGAUACUGAUGUCGAUGUAGAACACGAGCACCUGAAACAGCGUAUUAAACGCAAACUUUUCGCUGUCUCAUCCGAGAGUAUAUCGGAAAAGAACUCAAAUUCGUUAGACAAUCACUUUGAGAAAUUCCUCGCAACAACACGUAGUCUAUCAUCGUCUAUCGAUAAGCUAGCAAACGGAUUCAAGGGAUUGCAUCCAAUCAAAUCCAUAACAUUAAGACGACGCCAUUCAAAGGAGAACGACGUUAUGAACACACACGCAACAACAGCCUUAAAUUUACAGACAUCAGGUCAAACAUCGGUUGUGGGUCAUCAUCGUGGUUUCUCUCAACCAACGGCGGCCAAUACAGGCGAUCCAUGGUUUCUACAGUCGACCGGACAUCAAAUGCCUCCAACGGCUCCGGCUAGACAACAUAAACGUCCAGCCCCGCAACCGGGCAAUGUUAUUCCUAUGAGCAGUGGAUUAUUGCAACAACAACAGCAUAGUCAAUCACAACCUCAUAUUGUUCCACCAUCGGUGCCACCCCAUCAGAAUAAUAAUCAACAUGUAAAUUCCGUUCAUCUAUCCUCGCAUGCUUUAAAUAGUCAUAAUUUAUUAUCCUCAAAUCACUCACCGAAAUCACCAAAUCAACAACAACAACCGCAUCCCCAACAACAGAAUCUCCACAUCAUCUCCUCCAACCUAACAAGUGCAGCUACAACAAAUGCAACAUGUCAAACGCAACUGUCGAACUCGUCGAAUAACAAUUUGAUGUCAACAUCACUGAAUGCAGCGCAGCUUCAAAGUCACCUCAAUUCUGGGAUUGGUUUGCAGCCAACGUCUGUGUCGGCAGCUGUAACAGCACAAUCGAAUGCCGCUAAGAUGCACGGAAUGGCUGGAAUUUUACAUCCAUCAUCUGCCAUUCCACCGCCUCAUGCACCUCCACAACAACUACAACAACAUCCCCACCCGACAGCACAUAUGCAACCACCGGCUCCAACAAUUCAUGUACCACCCCCUUCAACGAAUGUGAUGUCAACAUCCUUGCAUAAUUUCGAUGCAAAUGGAACGGCUUGGAACAGUACGUCAUCGCUAUCUCCUACUAUUUCCAAUGCCUCUUCAACAUCUUCGUCCCAACAACACCAACAGCAGCAUAGAAAGUGUGAAGUGAAGCUGAAUGCUAUGCCGUGGUUCCAUGGCAGCAUUUCAAGAGAUGAAGCCGAACAUUUACUCCAGCCCCGAGAAGAUGGAUUAUUUUUGGUUAGAGAAUCGACAAAUUUUCCCGGUGAUUAUACGCUGUGCGUGUGCUUUCAAGGAAAGGUUGAACAUUAUCGCGUGAAAUAUUUGGAAAACAAGUUGACAAUUGACGAUGAAGAAUAUUUUGAGAAUUUAGGACAAUUGGUGGCGCACUACGAAAAGGAUGCCGAUGGUCUAUGCACACAACUAAUCAAAUGUCUCCCGAAAAAGGGCAAACAAGAGUUCUGCAUCAAUUCUAAAGAAUUCGCCGACAAAGGAUGGGUGAUACCAGAGAACGAUCUACAAUUGCGCGAGAGCAUAGGAAAGGGCGAAUUCGGAGAUGUGAUGCUGGGUAUUCUAAGAAACGAAAAAGUCGCUGUAAAAAUGCUGAAAGAUGAUGGAGCUGCACAGAAGUUCUUAGCAGAAGCAUCAGUUAUGACAACACUGGAACAUGAGAAUCUCGUUAAAUUUAUCGGUUUAGUAUUUACGAAUAAGCACAUCUACUUAGUUACGGAAUAUAUGAGUAAAGGGUCCUUGGUCGAUUAUCUACGAUCGCGCGGUAGACAGCAUAUUACGAAAAAAGAUCAAAUUACAUUUGCAUGUGACACAUGUUCGGGUAUGGAGUAUCUGGAAGCGAAGAAAGUCGUACAUCGUGAUCUGGCAGCGAGAAAUGUAUUAAUUUCGGAGAACUGUGUAGCUAAAGUAUCCGAUUUCGGACUGGCAAGAGAGGAAUGUUAUAAUUUGGAAGUGGGUAAAUUGCCAAUAAAGUGGACUGCGCCGGAAGCACUCAAGGGUGGUAGAUUUUCAAACAAAUCGGACAUGUGGAGUUUUGGAAUUCUACUUUGGGAAAUUUAUUCGUUCGGUCGCGUUCCUUAUCCAAGAAUUCCUCUAGCGGACGUAGUGAAACACGUCGAAGUCGGCUAUAAAAUGGAAGCACCCGAAGGAUGUCCACCCGAAAUCUACGAAAUGAUGCGCCAAGCGUGGGAUUUGAAUCCUGCCCGAAGACCAACGUUCCAGGAGCUCAAAGUCAAACUAUUGCAGCUUAAGAAUAUAACGACGUGAACUCAAAUCUCAAUAUAAGUUAUAAACAAUAAUCACUAUUUAAGAAGUAUUAUUAAAUGAAUAAUAAAAACGGAAAGAUGAAGAAAGUCCCAAUUGCAUCGUUGAACAGGAAUCUGUUCGGAAAGAUAAAUCUGAAACGCUAAAUGAACACGUACAUUGAGAAGAGCAAUCUGACGAGGACCGAAGCUGAAACUGAAAAAUGAAGCAGCAGUUUUAAGGAUGGUCUCGAUGUAUUCCCUUUAAUUUGAAAAUCUUUGAUUUUCCAGUGAAUCUAUUACAUUGUUGAGUAUUUGAUUUGUUUAUGUCAAUCAGAUUGCAUUUGUACAGAUUCCGAACUAAAGUAUUUUCAGUUGGACUAUGGUACAUAAGAUACAAUGAUGAUGAUAAAAAUACUUAAAUUUAAUCUUCAUAAGUUCUAUUUUUUGAUUGCAUAGGAAAAUUGUAUUUUUUUAUUCUUUUAAACAAAAUUUUCAAAAGUUUUGGCAAAUGAAAGUAUUUUUUUUUCAGAUAUUUUAUACAAAUUUUUAUUUUAUUUUUUAAUUAUAUUUUAAUUUUAUAUGGUUUUAAGGAGUGUUUGCUUAUUGCACAUUUGUAAACGAUAUAAAGAAAUUAUGUUAUGUUAUGAUGUUUGUUCCAAUAACCAGAGACAAUGAAAAUGAUAAAGAUCAAAACGAA